AAUGAAAUCUUGUUUAUAUUAAUAGGUUAGUAAGUUAAAAGUGAGUUAUUAAAACUAUUUUUAAAAAGUAAAUUAAUCUUAGUUAUUUAAAGUUAAAAGUUAUAAGAAACUAUAGUAAAAAAGUACUGUAAAGGAAAGAUGAAUAAAUGAAAAUUAAAUUGGUUAAAAGUAAGUAUAAAAAAUUGUACCUUGUGUAUCAGGAAGAUCAAAAUAAUUUGUGAAUUUCGUAGAGUUCUCGAAAAAAGGAGAGCUAACUUAAAAUAAAGUUUUCGUUUUAAAGAAAUUUUAAAGUUUAUGUUAGUAGUGAAAUGCUAGACGUUCCUUUAUAUCUAGUUAUUGACGAAUUAAAUUUAAUUUAGGUAUUAUUAUGAAAAAAUAAUAGUAACAAAAAAUUGGAGGGAAAGCUUCUAGUUUUAAAGAAUUGUAAAAAAUAAAAUAAAAUUAUAUAAUUAGGCCUAAAAGCAGCAAAAUUAUUAAAGCGUUCUAGCUAAUAUAAUAGGUAAAAUUAUUUUUAUUAUAAUAUUUUCAUUUUUGGUAGUCAAUUUAUUUUAAAAAUAUAAGGAUAAAAAGUUAUAAUGAUUUUAUUAGUAGAAAGUAUUGUGAAAAAAUUAAUUUAAAUUAAAUGAGUUGAAAUUAUAAUUUAUGAAAUAUUUUUUUAAGGAACUCGGCAAAUAUUAUUUUUGCCUGUUUAUCAAAAACAUGUCUGUAUGAGUGAGAAUAUAGAGUCUAGCCUGCCCACUGAGUUAAGAUUUCUUAAAGGGCCGCGGUACUUUGACCGUGCGAAGGUAGCAUAAUCAUUAGUCUUUUAAUUGAAGGCUGGUAUGAACGGUUGGACAAAAAAUAAGCUGUCUCAGUUAUAAUAUUUGAACUUAACUUUUAAGUGAAAAGGCUUAAAUAAAUCUAGGGGACGAUAAGACCCUAUAAAGCUUUACAGUUUUUUUUUUUAAUUAAGAAUUAUAAGUAUAAAUUAAUUUAAAAAAUAUCUGUUUCGUUGGGGCGACGAGAAUAAAAUUUAAUAACUGUUCUUUUAAAAUAUUACAAUUAUAAUUGAUUUAAGAUUGAUCCCUUAAUAAGGGUUAAAAAUUUAAGUUACUUUAGGGAUAACAGCGUAAUCUUUUUUGAGAGUCCAUAUCGACAAAAAGGGUUGCGACCUCGAUGUUGAAUUAAGGAAUCCUUAUAGUGUAGCAGUUAUAAAGGAGGGUCUGUUCGACCUUUAAUUCCUUACAUGAUUUGAGUUCAGACCGGCGUAAAGCCAGGUUGGUUUCUAUCUCUUGAAAUUUAGUAAAUUACUUUAGUACGAAAGGAUUAAGUAGUUCAAAUAGUUUGAAAUAAAGAAUAAUAUUAAUCGGU
rnacentral:rRNA from 1 species